rnacentral:tRNA from 3 species
AGCCUUGAAGUGUUUGGCACGUAAGAUUGCAAAUCUUAAAGAGCAGACUAACGUCUGCCGGGGCUU